rnacentral:rRNA from 1 species
CCUACGGGAGGCAGCAGUGAGGAAUAUUGGGCAAUGGACGAGAGUCUGAACCAGCCAAGCAGCGUGAAGGAUGACUGCCCUAUGGGUGGUAAACUUCUUUUAUAGGGGAAUAAAAUGUUGCACGUGUGGGAUUUUGUAUGUACCAUAUGAAUAAGGAUAGGCUAACUCCGUGCCAGCAGCCGCGGUAAUACGGAGGUUCCGAGCGUUAUCCGGAUUUAUUGGGGUUAAGGGGCGCGUAGGUGGAUUGUUAAGUCAGUUGUGAAAGUUUGCGGCUCAACCGUAAAACUGCAGUUGAAACUGGCAGUCUUGAGUGCAGUAGAGGUGGGCGGAAUUCGGGGUGUAGCGGUGAAAUGCUUAGAUAUCACGAAGAACUCCGAUUGCGAAGGCAGCUCACUGGACUGCAACUGACACUGAGGCUCGAAAGUGUGGGUAUCAAACAGGAUUAGAUACCCGAGUAGUC